GGAGCUUGCUUCUCUGGAUGAGUUGCGAACGGGUGAGUAACGCGUAGGUAACCUGCCUGGUAGCGGGGGAUAACUAUUGGAAACGAUAGCUAAUACCGCAUAACAGUAGAUGUUGCAUGACAUUUGCUUAAAAGGUGCAAUUGCAUCACUACCAGAUGGACCUGCGUUGUAUUAGCUAGUUGGUGGGGUAACGGCUCACCAAGGCGACGAUACAUAGCCGACCUGAGAGGGUGAUCGGCCACACUGGGACUGAGACACGGCCCAGACUCCUACGGGAGGCAGCAGUAGGGAAUCUUCGGCAAUGGACGGAAGUCUGACCGAGCAACGCCGCGUGAGUGAAGAAGGUUUUCGGAUCGUAAAGCUCUGUUGUAAGAGAAGAACGAGUGUGAGAGUGGAAAGUUCACACUGUGACGGUAUCUUACCAGAAAGGGACGGCUAACUACGUGCCAGCAGCCGCGGUAAUACGUAGGUCCCGAGCGUUGUCCGGAUUUAUUGGGCGUAAAGCGAGCGCAGGCGGUUAGAUAAGUCUGAAGUUAAAGGCUGUGGCUUAACCAUAGUACGCUUUGGAAACUGUUUAACUUGAGUGCAAGAGGGGAGAGUGGAAUUCCAUGUGUAGCGGUGAAAUGCGUAGAUAUAUGGAGGAACACCGGUGGCGAAAGCGGCUCUCUGGCUUGUAACUGACGCUGAGGCUCGAAAGCGUGGGGAGCAAACAGGGUUAGAUACCCUGGUAGUCCACGCCGUAAACGAUGAGUGCUAGGUGUUAGACCCUUUC
rnacentral:rRNA from 1 species